GGAUUCCCUACAAAGAAGUUAAAAACAAUGAGGACAGCAGCAACACUCCACUCAUAGUUAAAUGCAUUGAUCACAGAACUACACAAUUGGAAAAUAGGAAGAGCGGUUGAAAUGGAUGAUUAUUGUGGAGAUUAUGGAUGAAUCUCCAGCCCAUUUGCUUGGUUCUACAAAGCUAUUCACACAAGUUAGUUCAUUUCUAGCUCUGGCGGUAACUGUUGUUGCAGAAGUUGUCAAAACAAUGGUUGCCAAGGGAUAUGUUCUCGGACAAGAUGCAUUAAUCAAGGGGAUUUGUCAAAAC